AGCAGGGGGUUCUAACUGGAUGAGCACUGUGGUCUUUCUCAACCCAGGCCAUUCUAUGAUUCUAUGUCUCUAUCACUUACAGAUCUAAGGUUAAACUUUCUGCAUCCAGUGUAUCUGAAAGGGGUGGUACAAGGAGUGGAAAACCUCAUGGCACGGUGACUAAAUUCUAUACAGUUAAGGACUGGCAGAGCAAAAGAAAUCAUAUAGCAGGACAAUGAACUGAUACCCCAGUUCAGAAAAGAUGUAGAGAGGGAAGCCUAUGGACCUCCUGUGCCAUCCAGGAAGGGAGAGAGGAUCUGCACGCACAGAGAUUAUUUUAAUUCUAUCCACAGCCAUUUUGCUCAGGAAGCAGACAGAUUUUAAGGACAGUACAUUCAGGCUUUACACCUUUAACCUGAAGAGAAUCCUUAGCCUUAUGUAUUCAUGCCUGACCUGUCAGAUUUAACGGGGAAUGCCAGGAUGAUCCAGAACUGAUGAAAUGAAUUUGAUGAUUGGGAAAUUCAAAUCAAUUUCGUUUACUGAGCCUGAGAAGUAAUCAGGAGAGAUCACGGCUUCCAGGUUAAAUACCUUUGCUCUACUUUAUACUGCUUUAAGUUAAUCUUUCUAGUAGUCAGAAUGACCAGAACAGGUAAUCUUUAACCCUUACCAUUGACUAAGAAAGGUCAUGUCAUUUUCACUGCUGCGAUAUAAGUUGCCCUAGCACUACAUGCACUUCACUUCUUGUCUUUUGUACCACAGUGGUGAUGCUGGUAAAGCAAAUGUCCUUAAACGUUCAUGAAGUUUGUUGCCCCUUGAAUACUGUAAGAAUUUCUGUUAGAAAGAUAAACAAACACCGUUGUUGCCCACUUUCAAAUCAAGAAUUCCUGUAGCAAUGUUUAUAUAUGGUCAUAUCCAAAAGAGACGAAGAUCAGCAUAGCUAUGGUGAAGUGAAUAGCUUACACCAAAGGGAAGAUUCAGACAUAACUCAAUACAGGUCAGUUUUCAACAUCUUCACACAUCAAAGCGUCUGAUCUAAAAGUUGGACUGUGAUUAGUCUGAGUGUUUUAAACCAAGCUAUGCCCACACCUGGAAACUGGGGAGGUUCUCUACAGGUAGAUUAGCCAACUCUACGUCAGCAUAAAACUGAUCCCAUAAAGGGCAAGGCAAAGGUGUCCCCUGGAAACAGAGGCCUUGAACAGCUGGCCACUGCUGUGAUCUCGUAAAAGAAAGCCACCCGGGCACAGUGAUACUCAGCAACACGUCACACAGCAGCACCUGAGUUCUGACAGAUCCCAAUGGCACAACACAGGACCCCUGUCUGCGACGAUCUCCAAAGCCUCCAUGCUGUGUGCCUUUACUUCUACUACCACAGGCUAACCAUCUGCUGCCAGAGCUGUGGAGUGUGACAAUGGUGUUUGUGUCCAAUCUAUCAAACGCCAUUAUCACACUAAAUAGCUACUGGUAGAUGAGACUUCGAGUCAGAGAAGUUAGUGAAUUAUAGUGAAUUAUCUGCUGUACUGAGGAAUAAAUAAGCUUUCUUCAUUUCAGGAAGACUCCUUUUAUAAGCGGACCCACAGUUGUACGUGGGAAAAGCACACCCUGCCACGUGCCUUUCCAGAUCCCUAUUGCAGAACACACAAGAGUCACCUACAGGAAUCACACCACCAGUGUUAGGAAUGUUGAUUUCACUGGAGUCAGUGCAGCUGUGGUUGCCUCUGGAAAACAAGGUUGGACUGAGAUUUUCCUGUUGGAUUGACCAUUGCUGUAGAGUACUGAAGCCAAUUACCUGGUGAACUCAAAGCCUGGUUCUUAUUUUUGCACCAAAGUAGAACACACGUGUUUCAAACAAUAACUGGCUGAGAUGAUUGUGAUUUUCAAACAAAGCACCUUUCAAAAUUCUGAUAAAAAGCUUUUACAUCUA